rnacentral:rRNA from 1 species
GACGUAGGAUGCAAGCGUUGUCCGGAAUUAUUGGGCGUAAAGAGCUCGUAGGCGGUCUGUUGCGUCGGCUGUGAAAACCCGGGGCUCAACCCCGGGCCUGCAGCCGAUACGGGCAGACUAGAGUUCGGCAGGGGAGACUGGAAUUCCUGGUGUAGCGGUGAAAUGCGCAGAUAUCAGGAGGAACACCGGUGGCGAAGGCGGGUCUCUGGGCCGAUACUGACGCUGAGGAGCGAAAGCGUGGGGAGCGAACAGG